AACACUAUUCAUUCAAUAAUAAUUCAUAUUCUCAUUUUAUAAAUAGAACUAGAAAUAGCUGGCUUACGUUAUGCGGUGGGAAAUUUUAUGGUGAAAGUAUAAUGAAAAUAUGAAGUAAGUUUAAACGUCAUAAAAUUAUAAAAAAUAACACAAUGAAUAUGAGAGACGAUCAAAUAACUAUAAAAGAAUAGUACAAAUGGAUAAAAAAAAAUCGGUCAAAAAUUUGUGAAUCAAACGUCAUUUCAGUUGAAAAGUUAGCCGUGUCUGGCAAAGAGCAUGUAUCGAAAUAGCUCGCUCAAUAUAUCGUUUGAGUUAUGAAUCGGAAAUCGAAUAGCUACCACCAAUUUGGAAAUAUGGCUCCUAUUUAUACAAUAUGGCUCUUAUUAAUACACGGUGAUCUCGAGCCAUCCCAUUCCAAGCUACUGCUGACAAGGAUUGCUCUUUCCAUGAUCACCAACAUUAUUAUUUUUUGUGAGUGGUGUGCUGGCCCAACUAAUUCCACCGCAUUAAUUAAUAAGGUGACAGACAUGUACACGUCGGACAAAAUUAGGCACUGACACUGUGAGAGUUGAAUUGAAACAAAUAUAGAAAUAAAAACCAAAUUUUUCAAAAUUGUUGUAUUGGGGCUGCCGAGGUCCGACGACCGGAAAUGGAGAAGUUCUGGCUAAGAAUGAGUGGUGAAGUGUCAUCUUUGAUUAUUACAGAAGAUUCCAAUCGUCAGAUCGAGAGUCGAAUGAUAAACGGCUAGGAUUUUGACAUACUUAAUUGGGAAAUUGGGAAUGGUCCUCUUAUUAAUCGCAAUAAACUCACGAACCAAACCUAUGAGACACGAACUCCUCACUUUUCGAUCUGGAAUUCGAUAGGAAGCUUAUUAUAUAUGUGUUUUUGAAGCACUGAUUAGAAACCCUAGCCAGCCAGGGAAAAAUGCGUGAGCUAUGUAUGCAAACCGAACCUAGGGUCUUCAUCUCAAGAGGUCUACAUGUUAGUAAAUUUUAAUCGAUUGGUCCGAUAUGAGAUUAUAACCUACAUGAAUUUUAGAUGAUCUUUUCUUUUGUUAUAGAAAACGUAUUAGAAAAAUGAAGAAUGAAAAAUAUCACAAGACCUAUAAAAGAUAAUAUGUGAGCUCAAAAUAAAACCCUAAUAAAUUCAAAAUAAAACCCUGAUAAACUCAAAAUAAAAUCUUAUUAAACUUAAAAUAAAACCCGCAUAAAAAAUACCAAAUACUAUUCAUCUAAUAAUAAUAUAUAUUCUCUUUUAUAAAUAGAAUAUUU
rnacentral:lncRNA from 1 species